rnacentral:rRNA from 1 species
GAUGAACGCUGGCGGCGUGCUUAAUACAUGCAAGUCGAACGAUGAAGCCCAGCUUGCUGGGUGGAUUAGUGGCGAACGGGUGGGUAACACGUGAGUAACCUGCCCUUGACUCUGGGAUAAGCCUGGGAAACUGGGUCUAAUACUGGAUAUGACUUCUCAUCGCAUGGUGGGGGGUGGAAAGAUUUAUUGGUCUUGGAUGGACUCGCGGCCUAUCAGCUUGUUGGUGAGGUAAUGGCUCACCAAGGCGACGACGGGUAGCCGGCCUGAGAGGGUGACCGGCCACACUGGGACUGAGACACGGCCCAGACUCCUACGGGAGGCAGCAGUGGGGAAUAUUGCACAAUGGGCGCAAGCCUGAUGCAGCGACGCCGCGUGAGGGAUGACGGCCUUCGGGUUGUAAACCUCUUUCAGUAGGGAAGAAGCGAGAGUGACGGUACCUGCAGAAGAAGCGCCGGCUAACUACGUG